rnacentral:tRNA from 2 species
GCCGGCGUAGCUUAGCCCGGUAGAGCGGCUGACUUGUAAUCAGCAGGUCAAGGGUUCAAAUCCCUUCGCCGGCU